rfam:Sulfurovum sp. FS06-10 Sequence0000001027, whole genome shotgun sequence.
CUUUUAGACCUAUGCAAUGGCAUUGGUGGACAACGGGUCAGGAUGGGAACAUAGCAGCCCACCUACCUUUGCUGUGUGCCGUAGGUAUCUGAAAGGGG